GACGACGCUGGCGGCGUGCCUAAUACAUGCAAGUAGGACGAGUUGCGAACGGGUGAGUAACGCGUGGUAACCUGCCUAUUAGAGGGGGAUAACUACUGGAAACGGUGGCUAAUACCGCAUACUAUCGGAUGAACCCAUAUGGGAUUAGCUAGUAGGUGGGGUAAAGGCUCACCUAGGCGACGAUCUCUAGCUGGUCUGAGAGGAUGAUCAGCCACACUGGGACUGAGACACGGCCCAGACUCCUACGGGAGGCAGCAGUGGGGAAUAUUGCACAAUGGGCGCAAGCCUGAUGCAGCCAUGCCGCGUGUAUGAAGAAGGCCUUAGGGUUGUAAAGUACUUUCAGCGGGGAGGCGUUACCCGCAGAAGAAGCACCGGCUAACUCCGUGCCAGCAGCCGCGGUAAUAC
rnacentral:rRNA from 1 species